rnacentral:rRNA from 1 species
GAUGAACGCUGGCGGCGUGCCUAAUACAUGCCAGUCGAGCGAACAGACGGGGAGCUUGCUCCUCUGACGUUAGCGGCGGACGGGUGAGUAACACGUGGAUAACCUACCUAUAAGACUGGGAUAACUUCGGGAAACCGGAGCUAAUACCGGAUAAUAUAUUGAACCGCAUGGUUCAAUAGUGAAAGACGGUUUUGCUGUCACUUAUAGAUGGAUCCGCGCCGCAUUAGCUAGUUGGUAAGGUAACGGCUUACCAAGGCAACGAUGCGUAGCCGACCUGAGAGGGUGAUCGGCCACACUGGAACUGAGACACGGUCCAGACUCCUACGGGAGGCAGCAGUAGGGAAUCUUCCGCAAUGGGCGAAAGCUUGACGGAGCAACGCCGCGUGAGUGAUGAAGGCCUUCGGAUCGUAAAACUCUGUUAUUAGGGAAGAACAAAUGUGUAAGUAACUAUGCACGUCUUGACGGUACCUAAUCAGAAAGCCACGGCUAACUACGU